rnacentral:rRNA from 1 species
GGACGAACGCUGGCGGCGUGCUUAACACAUGCAAGUCGAACGGAAAGGCCCUGCUUUUGUGGGGUGCUCGAGUGGCGAACGGGUGAGUAACACGUGAGUAACCUGCCCUUGACUUUGGGAUAACUUCAGGAAACUGGGGCUAAUACCGGAUAGGAGCUCCUGCUGCAUGGUGGGGGUUGGAAAGUUUCGGCGGUUGGGGAUGGACUCGCGGCUUAUCAGCUUGUUGGUGGGGUAGUGGCUUACCAAGGCUUUGACGGGUAGCCGGCCUGAGAGGGUGACCGGCCACAUUGGGACUGAGAUACGGCCCAGACUCCUACGGGAGGCAGCAGUGGGGAAUAUUGCACAAUGGGCGGAAGCCUGAUGCAGCAACGCCGCGUGCGGGAUGACGGCCUUCGGGUUGUAAACCGCUUUCGCCUGUGACGAAGCGUGAGUGACGGUAAUGGGUAAAGAAGCACCGGCUAACUACGCG